rnacentral:rRNA from 3 species
AACUUUCAACAACGGAUCUCUUGGUUCCGGCAUCGAUGAAGAACGCAGCGAAAUGCGAUAAGUAAUGUGAAUUGCAGAAUUCCGUGAAUCAUCGAAUCUUUGAACGCACAUUGCGCCCUCUGGUAUUCCGGGGGGCAUGCCUGUUCGAGCGUCAUUG